AAUUUAUCAUCAUGGGAAAUAGCAUAUAAACAAGCUUCAUAAAAAUUUCUAAGCAGUAGGCCUACUACAUAUUUCUCAACGUAAACAUCAUGACCAUAAGCUAUCCCAAAGUUUUCACACCUUUCACACAGUAGGGCAGCAUUAGUCAUACAUAAUUAACAACACAUCAAAGAAACUUUAUUGAGGGAUAGCAGUGAAAAAAACAUCUGCGUCUUGGGUAAAGCUGGGCAAUGCUUAAUGUGAGGAGCAGGGCCCGAUUGGAAGGAAGCCCAUUCAGGACGAAGUUGACCUGGAGAAGGCAGCUGCAGGCAGAUGAGAACAGAACGCAGCCAAGCCAAUGAAUUCAGCCAAGUCACUGAGAAGUCUGUCUGUAACAUUUGGAAGAUACAGUUCAACCUUGUAGGACUUUUGUAAUUCCCCAUUGUACUUUACAGAGAUAGAGCACUUUGUUGCAGUCAGACAUUUGUUUUUGUUUACCUUUAACAUAGUGAGGCUGGAACACAAUAGUUUGACCUGGCUUGGUGGAAAGCCCACUCACCACGUCAAGGUGCAGGUCAUGAGUGGAAAAAAAGGUGUGUGUGUGUGUGUGUGUGUGUGUGUGUGUGUGUGUGUGUGUGUGUGUGUGUGUGUGGGGCACUCCAAGCGUCCUUCCCUGUGUGUGUGUGUGUGUGUGUGUGUGUGUGUGUGUGUGUGUUUGUGGGGGCACUCCAAGCGUCCUUCCCUGUGUGUGUGUGUGGGGCACUCCAAGCGUCCUUCCCUGUCUGUGUGUGUGGGGGGGCACUCCAAGCGUCCUUCCCUGUCUGUGUGUGUGGGGGGGCACUCCAAGCGUCCUUCCCUGUCUGUGUGUGUGGGGGGGCACUCCAAGCGUCCUUCCCUGUGUGUGUGUGUGGGGGCACUCCAAGCGUCCUUCCCUGUGUGUGUGUGUGUGUGUGUGUGUGUGGGGGCACUCCAAGCGUCCUUCCCUGUGUGUGUGGGGGCACUUCAAGCGUCCUUCCCUGUGUUUGUGUGGGGGCACUCCAAGCGUCCUUCCCUGUGUGUGUGUGGGGCACUCCAAGCGUCCUUCCCUGUGUGUGUGGGGGCACUCCAAGCGUCCUUCCCUGUGUGUGUGUGUGUGUGUGUGUGUGUGUGUGUGUGUGUGUGUGUGUGGGGCACUCCAAGCGUCCUUCCCUGUGUGUGUGUGGGGCGCUCCAAGCGUCCUUCCCUGUGUGUGUGUGUGGCACUCCAAGCGUCCUUCCACGGGGUUGGGCACCAAAUUAGGCCACGCCAAAGGUACUCCCACAGGAGGUUAUUCCUUCCUCCAUGGCCUCCUUAAAUCCAGUGUACUCCGGAUACACCGGUAGCCUGAGGACCAGGGAACAGGUAUUGGCCCUGGGGAAAAGGGCCGGUCCAUCUUCCUCAUGGAGGAAUUCAAGCCGGGGUCCGAUGGGAAAACCCACAGCAGGAAUCCUUUUGAGGCCCGUGGCAAACGCCAGAACCGCCCCCAGGGUGAGACUCGUAUCUCCAUCUGUUAGUACAUAAGAGAUAACUUGUAAGAACGACCGCAUGUGAACAUUAACAGGAAUUUUACACUGCCUGACAUGUGCCAAUCUUUCGUCGUCCUUAGUUAAGAUAAGAUAUACUUUAUUAAUCUCAGCAGAGAAAUG
rnacentral:lncRNA from 1 species